GUCAUGGUGGAUUUUAAUAACACAAAAGUCAGGGUAGGAGAUUGUUAUUAAACAGAUUUUUCUUUUUUUUUUUAGUUCACUUCGCCAUUAUGUCCAGUCAACCCGUGCCUGGUAUUUCUAAACGUUAUAGACGUCACAGUAACCUAACUACCUCUAGCACUAGGGGAAAGGUCUUUGUAGACAUCCUUCUCUAUGAUGACACCUCAGUCCUGUGACAAAUAUCCAACAUCAUGCCAGGCACUUGGCUCUCAGUAAGUGUUGAUUGCAUGAAGGAAUUCACAAGUUUGUUUGUGGCAUGGAUAAGAUAUGUACAUAUUGAAUUCCUGUGAAUGUGGAAACUUUUCUGAUUUCAUAUCAGUUAAGGGUUUCUAGUGUUUUUGAGUGCUAAAUAUUUCAUGAGUGACUUUUAAUACCCUAGUUGACUGUCAUUGGGAAUCCCAGCAAGUUAUGUAAUAGAACAAUAUGGAGAGGGGAAAAAAAAUCAAAAAGUAAACUCCAAAUUUAAUUAAUAUUCACUCAAAAUAUAAAAUAUGCCGGGUUCUUUGAAGGUACUUUCACACACAUUGUUUCACUUAAUUCUCAUGACUCAAUUAGAUUUUUAACAGUGAUGAGAUUUAAGUAACUAAAAGCUUUCCUUAGCCUUCAAAAAUAAGGUGCCUGUUAUCCGUACUUUCAUUAGAUCCUCUUUCAUAUUUGGUUAACACUCUUAUCCUAGAGCACUACAGUUUGUCAUGAUCAACAUCUUCCCUACCAUCAUAUAGGGAGAUCAUGUAUUAUGAGUUAGAU
rnacentral:lncRNA from 12 species